AGGAAUCAAGAUGGCCGCCUGGGACCGCUCUCAGCCCCUUCGGCCUCUACCUGAAGAGCCACGCCCCGUCUGCUACACCCAACUGAUUGGUUCCUCAAUCACAGAGAGGAAAGGCAACAUGAGGAUGACGUCAGUUACAAAUAUGGCGUUUUGGACGGGCUCGAUAGUUUGCUUGGCCUCUACUCAAGGAAUGCUGAUGGUAUAGCAAGAAGGUAUUCUGAGCAUUAUAUCAAUGGGGAAGUUCUAGAUCUUUUGCAAAGCAGGAGCUGCCCUGUUGUGAGCUCUCCGGUGGAGAGCCCCACAUGGCAAGAAAAUGAGAAGCCCCCUGAACAGACAAGAGCUGAGGCCCAGGAUACAAUAUCCUGAAAAAAACUGAAUCCUGCUGACAGUUGCCCAAGUGAAGCUGGAAGUGGAUCUUUCUGCAGUGGAUCCUUGAGAUGACUGUAGCCCUGGCUGACAACUUGAUUGCUGCCUGUGAAGGACCCUGAACCAGAGGACUCAGCGAAAUUGUGCCCAGAUUCCUGACCUACAGAGGCAGUGAGAUAAUAAAUGCUGUUGAGGUCACAAAGUUUUGAGGUAUUUGUUAAUACAGCAAUGGAUACUUAAUACAGCUUCCUACAUGGUCUCCCUCCUUCGACCUUUACACUACAAUCUGUCGUCCACACAGCAGUCAGAGAUCCUUUUAAAACAUAAGUCAGAUCAUCAUGACACUCACCUCCCUGCUAAGUGUCCUGCAAGGCCUUUCACGGUCUGAUCCCCUAUCCUUUCUCUUUCCUCAUCUCCUAUCACUCUUGCCCUUGCAAAUUUUCUUCCAGCACUCUGGCCUCCUUGCUGUUCUUCAGUAUGGCAAGCAACCUGCUGCCCGGAGCCCACACACUGACUGUCCCCUCUCCUAGGACACUCUUCCCUCAAGGGCUCCCAUAUCUUGCCUGCUGGCUCCUGCAUCUUCUUCAAGUCUGCUCAAAUGUCACCUUCUCAGUGAGGCCCAUCCUGGCUAUCCUCUUUCAGUUCUGACAGAAAAUAAUUUAUUGCUUUAUUACAUCAUUAUUUUGUUGUCUUCCCUCCGUCUGUUCCUACUAAAAUUUAAUCUCUGAGAAAGCAGAAAACGUUGUCUUGUUCUUUCCUGUAACCCAAGUGCCUUGAACAUUGCCUCAUUAAUUGCUUGCGCUCAGUAAUAUGUGUUGAAUAAAUGGGUUAAGUAGUUUAUUAAUUGUGAAACUAAAUCCUGUCUGAAAGGUUUGGAGCAGCUUGUUGAAAUAGCAAAUGGAGAUUCUGUGUUUUAAGUUGUGGCUAAGGUAGAAUCAUCCAUGAUGUAUGUGGAGCCAGCUCCUGUGUCCUGGACUUAAACAUCUGUAUCUGACGUGUGGGUAAUUAUAUUGCUAUCCUACACCUUUGACCCAUUCAUCUCGGCUCACCUGUGAUCCAGGCUAUGCUACUAAAGUUGGGUGAGAGAGUCUGCAACACAAGGAAAACAUAGAGCCAUCAUUUAGUAAAUCAAACCCAUAAUAAUACAUUUUGUUGUUAAAUGUAGCCAAUCUCUGAGUAUUUUUU
rnacentral:lncRNA from 10 species